GCCCUUGUAGCCCAAUCGGAAGAGGCACUAGGCUAAGGACCUAGUUGGUGCUGGUUCAAGUCCAGUCAGGGGCA
rnacentral:tRNA from 1 species